GUGAAAGGAUGAGGUUAUGAAAACAUAUGAAAAUGCCUCCCAAGUAAAUCAACAUACUCGAUUUGACACAGCACUUUGUGGUCUUAAGCUCCAAAACCAAGGUAACUGAUCGGUAUUCUAAACAGACUCUUCUAGAUUUAUAUUCUAGCUAGAACAACAGCAGAGAUUACAAAAUAUUCCUGUCAACCUGCCAUCCAAACAUUUGUGCUUCCUUUCUACUCACCCAGUAACCAUGCUACAUUCUUCAUGGAUGCUCCAAAUUCUAGUAAGGUGAAAGCAAUAGUAGAUUCUUUAAUGGUAACAGAAUUUUGAGAGAGGGAAAUUUUAAGAUAAAGAAAUGCAGGAUUGUUGGCAACCAUGAAGCUGGAAUGAAAGAUUACGAGAUCCAUCAGCAUAGUUAGGUGGAUCGAAGCAUGAUAACAAUUCCAUCCGUUUAACAAAGUUGACCACGGUGAAGAAAGCUGCCCACUAUAUCAGCUGCAAUAGCAUGUGGAAAAGCAUUCCACAAAAGGAAAAAAGAUGUUGCUCUUGCGCCAGUGUUAUCGAUGCGCUGAACAUACCGUCUAACUGAGCUUCUUUUAAAAUCCAUAAAUCCAAGAUAUUUGAUCCAUUGCUGACAAGGACAUGUUAAAAUAUUGAUAGAGCUCUCUCAACUAGGUAUCUAUUCUGGUACCACUAUUAUUAUUAGUUUCUGGAAGAGUGAUAACAACUGGUUGCCAACCAGAGUGCGAAGUUUUAAUCCAACGCUUCAGCGUGAUAAUCAUAUCCAGGAUUUGAAUUACUUCACCCAGUGUAAGGUCUUUUAAGCAUGAAUUUUUAAGAAUUAGAGCUGCUUCAUACCUGGAUGGAAAAUGGACAUCAGAAAGAACUCUGGAAAUUAAUAAAAAACAACAACUACCCAGUAUAGUCCCACAAAGUGGGGUCUGGGGAGAAAUUAAUAAAAAACAUGCAACAGAAAUUGUUUACCUGCAUUCAGAUGCUGCUAUUGCUGAACGUCCAGCAGCUGAACAGAGAUUUCUCAAUCGCAUUCCAAGUUGCAUCUCGAUACUGGUUAAGAUUUCCACCAAGUGGAUUCACACAAUUCCAGAUCCUCUCAGUCCUACCAACAUAUAGCACCAAAUUUCCUACUUUUAUCUUUAAUAUUAUCUGCUGCUCUAGUGCAGAAUUUAAGGCUGCUGUAACAUCUGUAUGACGAUCUUUUGAGUUACCAUAGCGUAGACAAUAAGUAAUGUUUUCUUCUGUCGGUGCAAUCUUCUCAAGCUUCAAAGUAUUCAAGGCAAGCAAGAUGAGCCCUACAAGACCUUGAAUGUGUUCAGGAAGCUGGAGAUCCAAAUCUGAAUUACAUGGGACAGAUUUAGAAACCCCCAAUGAGGAUGAAGGGACGGAAAAAACAGGACGUGCACGAACCUUGUUAAGAGAACCGCCGAUAUCACCCCCAUCUGCAAGCAAAUUACCGCCAUUAGCAGCCUCAAGAAAACUAUCUGGCCUAAUAAAAUUCAGUUUCGGUCUAAAUACUUCCUUAUUUUGUCAAUUUAAAAUUAGAAGAAUAAUACAAAUUUAUGGAGCUAUCAGAUAAAUUACCCCUAACAGCAUCAGGAUGACAUACAAUUGGUGUAGAAAAAACUGCAGAACCUUCAGGCGGUGGAGGUGCAGGCUGCAAAUUGUUCUGGCAAGAGUUCGAUU
rnacentral:lncRNA from 1 species